GCCGGUAUAGCUUAACGGUAAAGCAAUGGUUUCGUAAACCUUUGAUGUAGGUUCAAUUCCUGCUACCGGCU
rnacentral:tRNA from 1 species